UUUCAGGAGGAUCUAAAUUGGCAUAACAGGUUUCCGAUUGAUGUUGACCUCCAACAACAUAGACAAGCUUAACAGUAACAGUAACAGUAGCACAACCAAAGUUCCAGAGUAAAUUGCAAUCUGACAUUUUUUUCAUGAGUAAGUUUUUGUGUAUCUAACACAUACCAAUCGUAGAAAGGCUUUUCAGGCCGCCAAAGCUCCGCUCAAAACAGAGAUAUGCAAGGUUGUUGGAAUCGUAAGAGGGAAUUCCCAUUUUUUUUUUAAAGAAAACCACAAUCACGAUUCACGAUGAAAGAUAGAUGGUUAUGAUGAUAAUGACAGAAAAAUAGAUGAAACCUUAACUAAAGGUUGCCUUCUUCUUCAAGUUCAUGCCAUCUUUUUUAAUUAUAAUUAAUAUACUAUAUUUAUAUUACAGUAUACGUAUAAUUAUUACUGUACAAUAAUUUACUCUACUUGCUUUGUUAUUAAACCCGGUUCUUUUUAUACCCGACACCCGAUCUGGGUUUGGACAAAUCCGGGUUUAAAUUCAGGCUUGUCCAAAUUCCAGACCUACUGUAUUUCAGCUCUAUUGUCAGAAGCUCAAACU
rnacentral:lncRNA from 1 species